AUUGAACGCUGGUGGCAGGCCUAACACAUGCAAGUCGAGCGAGCGGCGGACGGGUGAGUAAUGUAUGGGGACUGCCCGAUAGAGGGGGAUAACUACUGGAAACGGUGGCUAAUACCGCCUACUGUCGGAUAACCUAUAUGGGAUUAGCUAGUAGGUAAGGUAAUGGCUUACCUAGGCGACGAUCCCUCGCUGGUCUGAGAGGAGGAUCAGACACAAUGGGACUGAGAAACGGCCCAGAUGCCUACGGAGGCAGCAGGGGGGAAUAUUGCACAAGGGGCGCAAGCCUGAUGCAGCCAUGCCGCGGGUAUGAAGAAGGACCUAGGGUUGUAAAGUAAUUUCAGUCGGGAGGCGGUACCGACAGAAGAAGCACCGGCUAACUCCGUGCCAGCAGCCGCGGUAAUAC
rnacentral:rRNA from 1 species